rnacentral:rRNA from 1 species
CCUACGGGAGGCAGCAGUGGGGAAUAUUGGGCAAUGGGCGCAAGCCUGACCCAGCAACGCCGCGUGAAGGAAGAAGGCUUUCGGGUUGUAAACUUCUUUUGACAGGGAAGAGUAGAAGACGGUACCUGUCGAAUAAGCCACGGCUAACUACGUGCCAGCAGCCGCGGUAAUACGUAGGUGGCAAGCGUUGUCCGGAUUUACUGGGUGUAAAGGGCGUGUAGCCGGGUUGACAAGUCAGAUGUGAAAUCCUGCGGCUUAACCGCAGAACUGCAAUUGAAACUGUUGAUCUUGAGUACUGGAGAGGCAGACGGAAUUCCUAGUGUAGCGGUGAAAUGCGGAGAUAUUAGGAGGAACACCAGUGGCGAAGGCAGUCUGCUGGACAGCAACUGACGGUGAGGCGCGAAAGCGUGGGGAGCAUACAGGAUUAGAUACCCUUGUAGUC